rnacentral:rRNA from 1 species
AGAGUGAACGCUGGCGGCAGGCCUAACACAUGCAAGUCGAACGGCAGCACAGGAGAGCUUGCUCUCUGGGUGGCGAGUGGCGGACGGGUGGGGAAUACAUGGGAAUCUACCCUGUCGUGGGGGAUAACGUAGGGAAACUUACGCUAAUACCGCAUACGACCGAGAGGUGAAAGCGGCGGACCGCAAGGCGUCGCGCGACUGGAUGAGCCCAUGUCGGAUUAGCUAGGUUGGCGGGGUAAACGGCCCACCGAAGGCGACGAUCCGUAGCUGGUCUGAGAGGAUGAUCGAGCCACACGU